rnacentral:lncRNA from 1 species
AGACUGUCGAUAUAACAGAGAAGGAGAACAGAGGCUGCGUGUAGCACGUGGUGAAGAUGAGGAAGAGGAAGUAGAAGAGGAAGGAGUCAGUGGGGCUUCAUUAUCUAGUCGUAGGAGCAGUCUGGUUGAUGAGGCACCAGAAGAUGAAGAGUUUGAACAGAAGAUUAGUAGACUCAUGGCUGCAAAAGAGAAACUUAAACAGCUCCAGGAUCUUGUUGCUAUGGUGCAGGAUGAUGAUGCAACUCAAGUGCUUGUUCCUGCUGCAUCAAAUUUGGAUGACUUCUAUGUAGCAGAAGAAGAUACCAAACAAAAUUCCAAUAAUGCAAGAGAAAAUUCUAAUAAAGUAGAUACUGGGGUAAAUGAAAAAACAAGGUAUAGUA